rnacentral:rRNA from 1 species
AACGAACGCUGGCGGCAGGCCUAACACAUGCAAGUCGAGCGAGCAUUUCGGUGCUAGCGGCGGACGGGUGAGUAACGCGUGGGAACGUGCCCUUUUCUGCGGAAUAGUCCUGGGAAACUGGGGGUAAUACCGCAUACGCCCUUUUGGGGAAAGAUUUAUCGGAGAAGGAUCGGCCCGCGUUGGAUUAGGUAGUUGGUGGGGUAAUGGCCCACCAAGCCGACGAUCCAUAGCUGGUUUGAGAGGAUGAUCAGCCACACUGGGACUGAGACACGGCCCAGACUCCUACGGGAGGCAGCAGUGGGGAAUCUUAGACAAUGGGGGCAACCCUGAGCUAGCCAUGCCGCGUGAGUGAUGAAGGCCUUAGGGUUGUAAAGCUCUUUCAGCUGGGAAGAUAAUGACGGUACCAGCAGAAGAAGCCCCGGCUAACUCCGUG